rnacentral:rRNA from 1 species
AGCAACUAUACAGUGAAACUGCGAAUGGCUCAUUAAAUCAGUUAUCGUUUAUUUGAUAGUACCUUACUACUUGGAUAACCGUGGUAAUUCUAGAGCUAAUACAUGCUAAAAAUCCCGACCCCUGGAAGGGAUGUAUUUAUUAGAUAAAAAACCAAUGCCUUCGGGCUCCUUGGUGAUUCAUUAUAACUUAACGAAUCACAUGGCCUUGCGCCGGCGAUGGUUCAUUCAAAUUUCUGCCCUAUCAAGUUUCGAUGGUAGGAUAGUGGCCUACCAUGCUUUCUACGGGUAACGGGGAAU